CUCAAAAGACACAGGCCUUAGGGGAUGCUGGUCCUCAAAAUCUACUCAAGCCUUUUGUCCAGUUCAUCCACUUAGCCUGACUCUGGGAGGAAUUUAGGUGACACAGUUUGCUCAGAGGCACAGUGAAAGGACAAGAGGCAGUCGUUGCAAGUAGCAAUAAGCACAAUUCCUAACGUACGAAGGGGCCUGGACCAGAUGAGCCCCAGAUGUCUACAACAGUGGAGAGCUUCUUUCUCAUUAUGUUCAAGAUACUAAGUAAAGUUCUUCACACACAUGCAUCCAGACAGA